GGUUGAAAACUUUGAGUUUUAACGAUAAGAACAGAAUAAAGGGUAAAGUAAAUAGUAUCAGGAUUGACUUUUUAGUGUAAAAAUAUGGUUUUUCAUUAAAAUGAACAAUACCGAUAGCUUUUCGUUAUAGUUUCUUUCUUUGUCUGAUCAUGUGGGGUCUGAAGUUUCAAUCAGUUAAUUUCAUCUGUCAUCAUUUUUAUUUCGUUCUUUCAUUUUCUGGUGUGAACGCCAGUUGCCGGCACAAGCAAUAUUCCAAAAGCAUAGCUGUGGACGGUGUACGUGAGCAGCUCACGGCCAUUGCUUUUUACGUAGAGGACAAAACCCUAAAUUGUUGAAUUUAGUGUUUUCAUCUAGAAGACAUUGAGUUGAUAAGUAGUAUCGGGAUUGACCUAGGGAAAUGAUUUACGCAAACUCAUUUUGUUCUUUUGGACACUCUUAUUUGGACUUAUGCAAACGUAAAUUUCCUAAAACAAAUAUAAGUGCUGAAUAAGAAAAGAUGUAUACGGAUAUCUUUCCUUUGAUGUUUAAUGUAAUGUAAUUUCACUUUCCUUUGAUGUAAUCUUAUGAGUUAUUCAUGAGAACACUAUAUAACCUUGUGGACGAGACCAAAUUGGGUGAUUCACAUAUAUCAUUGAAUCAUUGUAUCUGUCUUGAUUGUGGCUCUGGCGUUUCAAUUUUGACUUGAUUUGUUCUAUGCAUCAAGAAAAUAUAUAUGUACUUUGUUACGAAACCUUAUAAUUUAUUCAUGAGUACACUCUACAACCUCAUGGACGAAGUCAAAAAUGGGUGAUUCACGUAUAUGUUUGUGUUUGUUUUGAUUGUGGCUCUGGCAUUUCAAUUUUUACUGUUGAUAUGUUUCUAUUCAUCAAUGAAACGUAUAUGUACUUUGUUAAGAAACUUGUAUUUUAUUUGGCAAUGCUUUUGGAAUGGCUGGCAUCGUUUUCAAAUAAGAAGCACUUUUAGUGAAUUUUGGAACAAUAAUUUAGCAAUAUUUUUGGAUUAUAAAAGUACUCGGGUGAACCCAUGGUGUCGUUUUGGGGUUUAAACAAGUUUAUAAGGUUCACGUGUCCCCCGUGUCGGAAAGAGAGGGGCGGAGGGUGGAGAAUGUCGAGGGCGAUGGGUCUGGCGGGGCAGGGUCGCAAAGCUCUCAAACAAUUCAACUUGCUCAGGGCUUUGCAGUCCGAGAUACAAUACGAGCUUUCCUCUAAUCCCUUUCAGCAAAAGCGCUUCCAACAAAACAAUUCUGAGCAUUUCCAAACAAAUCCUCUAGGUAGUUGAAGGUUAACAAGCAAUGGCUCCACAUGUCUGCAGUCCACUGAAAUUAUGUGGAACAGGAGCACUAUAAUUGAUAGAGAGUAAUCUUUUCAAAUAUAAUGGAGAAUCUUCUUGACUUUUAUUAACCCAUCAUGCUCAAAAAACAUCACUGUUUAUUUUUCUUUUUUCUGCAGCAAUCAUUUUCUACUAAAUAAAGGGUGAUUUGACACACAAA